rnacentral:sRNA from 1 species
CCUAUGAUAGAGCAGAGAUGGCCGACAACUGUCAGGAAUAGCUCAAUUCAUCCACACGUUUCUUCCGCUCAUCCGUCUUAUAGAAGUCACUCUAUUGACGCUGCUGUUAACAGGUAACAUGGUUUUCCCCUUUGUAGGAUAUAUUUAUGUGUAUAUUUACUUUGACAACAUUUGAAAAUCCAAACAAACAAACAAAAUCGAUUUUUGAUUAAAUUUUUUUGAUUGCCCAAAAUGUCUUGAAAGUGUAGUAUAGUAUCUUUAUUAAAAAUUUUGAAAUUUUCAGCAAAGAGUAGGAAAAUUACUUAGGACAUCCCAAGUCGUCCUUUUCAUUUUUCAAAACUCAUUCUGGCCUUCUAUUUGCCGUAAGCUUCAGACUACUAUUUGGAGCACUGCAAAAUCUUGAAAAUUCCAAAAAAACUAGAUUAAUAGGAAAAAAACUAACAAGUUAUUAAUUGAUUUUCUGCAAAUCCAAUAAAAUUGAUGUAUGCAUAUCUAAUUUACCAAAGUUUCAAUUUGCAUUUUCAGACCCGGAAACACCGAAAUUUCUAUGCGUUUUCGGUUUUUAUUUCUGUUAAUUUGUAGAAUUAAACAAAAAUAUAAUUCUUAACAUAAAAAGUAAAAAGUUGAAAAUAAAUUUCAGGAACACAUUUUUUCUCAACUUUCAAUUUUGACUUGCCAAUUCUACUUUUAUCACAACUGUCCCAAAAUUCACGUGUUGUCGUAUUUUGGUGACAUACGCAGUUCCCCGAAUAAAUAUUAUUUCAAUCAAGCAAAAACCAUAUUUUGCAAACAAUUAUAGAAGUUCAUCCGCCUGCUUUCAUUCACCACAUCGUCCAUCCUUCCCGUCUCGAGGUCUUCAAAAAUACGACUAUCCAAUUUGUGGAGUAUCGCCUUCCAGACAUCUGUCAUACAAUCAUUUUUAUAAGUGAGUAGUUUUUUGCAAUUUGACAAACUUUUGAAAUAAUUUGGAGUUGGAAGGAAAUCAAAUUUUGAAAAAAUUUUAAAGAAGCAUUUAUUAAAAAAAUUUAAAAUGUAUGUUAUUUUUCAAAAUAUUUCCAGGUUAAACAUUUUAAAAGACCGACUUUUAAAAUAAAAAAGAAAACUAUUUUAAAAGUACUACAGAGAAAAGUUCUAAAAGGUAAUAAUUUUCACAACCUAAAAAUAUGUCUAAUUCUAAAUUUUUCGUUCAAAUUUUUUAACCACUAAAAUAAGCUGGAAUUCCUAAUUGAAAACAUACAUAUUUUUUUUGAAAAACUUUUGAAAAUCUCUUUCAGCAUUUUUUUAUUAAUUUUUGACAUUUGUAAAAGCGCAUUAAAACUCAAAAAGCAAGCUCAAACACAAAAAUACUUUUAAUUAAUUCUGAAAUCAAAAGUUUUCAGCCAAUCCGCAGCUGAAAUCGAAGAGAUGCUGCGAACACGACAAUUUCCGGAGG